AGAUUCACGUCUGCUCCUCUUAAAUAUAUUAGCUGGAUCUCCGUAAGCUCGGUUCCACUCGGCGUGAUAAGUAUCACUCGCUGAGGACACUGUAAAAGGUGGCCGGGAAUGCAGACGAACCGCUUCUAAUCGUCUAUUGACUUAGACAAUUAAAUUUAUGAUCUGAUCUCAAAUCAGGUAGGACUACCCGCUGAACUUAA
rnacentral:misc_RNA from 1 species